rnacentral:rRNA from 1 species
AGCAGUAGCCGCGGUAAUACGAAGGGGGCUAGCGUUGCUCGGAAUCACUGGGCGUAAAGGGUGCGUAGGCGGGUCUUUAAGUCAGGGGUGAAAUCCUGGAGCUCAACUCCAGAACUGCCUUUGAUACUGAAGAUCUUGAGUUCGGGAGAGGUGAGUGGAACUGCGAGUGUAGAGGUGAAAUUCGUAGAUAUUCGCAAGAACACCAGUGGCGAAGGCGGCUCACUGGCCCGAUACUGACGCUGAGGCACGAAAGCGUGGGGAGCAAACAGGAUUAGAGACCCCCGUAGUCCCUGUCUCUUAUAC